GUUGGAGUAGCUCAGUUGGUAGAGCAUGAGGCUCUUAAUCUUAGGGUCGUGGGUUUGAGCCCCAUGUUGGGCA
rnacentral:tRNA from 1 species